rnacentral:rRNA from 1 species
AACGAACGCUGGCGGCAUGCCUAACACAUGCAAGUCGAACGAGACCUUCGGGUCUAGUGGCGCACGGGUGCGUAACGCGUGGGAACCUGCCCUUAGGUUCGGAAUAACUCCCCGAAAGGGGUGCUAAUACCGGAUAAUGUCUUCGGACCAAAGAUUUAUCGCCUUUGGAUGUGCCCGCGUUGGAUUAGCUAGUUGGUAGGGUAAAAGCCUACCAAGGCGACGAUCCAUAGCUGGUCUGAGAGGAUGAUCAGCCACACUGGGACUGAGACACGGCCCAGACUCCUACGGGAGGCAGCAGUGGGGAAUAUUGGACAAUGGGCGAAGGGCUGAUCCAGCAAUGCCGCGUGAGUAAUGAAGGCCUUAGGGUUGUAAAGCUCUUUUACCCGGGAUGAUAAUGACAUUACCGGGAGAAUAAGCUCCGGCUAACUCCGUG